ensembl:lincRNA
CUGAGCCCAGGGGGUAUCUGAGCCCUUGGGAAGCCCCCUUCCCCCAGUACCCCCCCCCCCCACUCUCCGUCCUUGCAGAUGUGAGGGACCCGGUGAAGCUCGUGAGAGACACAGCGGCCUGGGGAUGGAGUCUACCCGUGACCACCCUGUCCUCCUUCCACCGCGGCUGCUGCCCUCUGCUCCCACUCCCACGGCGGCCUCGCACCCCAGGACUCGCACCCCUGCUCCCCCGCCCUGUGCUGCACCCCACACCUGCUGCACCCCAGCCAGGGCUGCAUCUUGACUCUGGGCCGCGCCUCGGUUUGUGUUGCACUGCAACACUAGCUGCACCCCCAUCGCGGGCCGUGCUCUAACUCCUGACCAUGCCCUGAUACCUGUUGCACCCCUGUCUCCGCUGCACGCCAUCCCGGGCCGCCCUCCCAGUCCUCGAACCGGGCCGCACUUCAUUCCGGGUCGGUCCCCCCACCCUGUCCCCUCCGCACCGUCCCCUCCCCCUCCUCGGGCCUGCGUGCUCGCCGGCGCCAUGGGCAGCGGCAGCAGCCGGAGCUUCGGGGUGCAGAGGCGGCGGGGGCCCCACUGCCCCGCGGCUCCCGAGCACGGCCCGAGCGCGGCGAUUGCGGCGGUGACCGCAGACGCGGGCCCCGGCCCCGGAGACAGCGGCGCCCUCCGACGGCCGCGCGGAGGCGCUGCGCCUGCUGGACCUGCUGCUGGCCGAGUCCGCGGCUUGGGGCGCGCAGGGGCCCGCGGGGUCCCCCGCCUGAGGUGUCCCCAGGGCUGCAGGCUGAGGACACCCCAGAGAGCAGCCGAGAGAGCAGCCGAGCCUCCGAAGCCCUAGGUGAGAACCCUACCCAGGCCUCGAGGCAGUCUUCCAUCUCCUACAGCCGCGCGGAAGAGGAGCUGAUGGCCAGUAUUGAGCAGGAGUAUGGCCACUAAGGCUGCUCACAGUGGCUGUCCUGGUCCCCAUCUGUCCCUAGCCAGGCAUCAGUGGAACAGAGCCACCUCCUGAGGACCCGCUCUGGACUCAAAUCCCCCUGAGCAGUCUCGUACACAGCCGCUGAGGGGCCUGGAGACCAGCACUGGUCCUCUGUGUCGUCAGGAGCCAGUGACCCUUUCUUAUGUCACCACUGUCCAGGGAGCACAGGCUUCUGAGGCUGGGACUGUGGUCAGGCGCCACCAGCCAGCAUGCCCGCCAUGGCAGCUUUUGCUGAAACAGGCGCCCUUCAGAGGUGGAGCCCCAGGAUGCAGCCCUGGGCCAGGCGUCCCCACUCCUCUGGUCCUCAAGGGUCACCAGCUAUCAGGACGCCAGAAUUUCCAUGGUCAGGGUGAGAGUGGCUUUGAUCCCAGCUCCUAGGGCUCCUAAGCCCAAAGCAUCCCUUCUGACAGGAGAGGACCACUGCUAACUCAAGUGCUGACUGUAAAAGAAGCUGAAAAAAGAAUGCUGAAUUUUUAUUCUUAAACUGAAUGUGGUGAUGCACACCUGUGACCCCAAUGCUGAGGUGGCUGGGGCAGGAGGAUCCCAGAGAGUUUAAAGCUGAGCUGGACUAGAUUGCAAGACCCUGGCCCAAAACAACAAAUAAAUAAAAGAGUUUUCUUACUGCCAGAACUAGGCUUUGAAUUGAC